rnacentral:rRNA from 1 species
AGAGCGAACGCUGGCGGCAGGCCUAACACAUGCAAGUCGAGCGCCCGUAGCAAUACGGGAGCGGCAGACGGGAUAGUAACACGUGGGAACGCGCCCUUCGGUUCGGAAUAACUCAGGGAAACUUGAGCUAAUACCGGAUACGCCCUUACGGGGAAAGAUUUAUUGCCGAAGGAACGGCCCGCGUCCGAUUAGCUAGUUGGUGAGGUAAUGGCUCACCAAGGCGACGAUCGGUAGCUGGUCUGAGAGGAUGACCAGCAUCACUGGGACUGAGACACGGCCCAGACUCCUACGGGAGGCAGCAGUGGGGAAUAUGGACAAUGGGCGCAAGCCUGAUCCAGCCAUGCCGCGUGGAUGAUGAAGGCCUUAGGGUUGUAAAGUCCUUUUAACGGGGAGAUAAUGACGGUACCCGUAGAAUAAGCCCCGGCUAACUUCGUGCCAGCAGGCCGC